ACUCCUACGGGAGGCAGCAGUGAGGAAUAUUGGACAAUGGGCGGGAGCCUGAUCCAGCCAUGCCGCGUGCAGGAAGACUGCCCUAUGGGUUGUAAACUGCUUUUAUACGGGAAGAAAAAGGGGCACGUGUGCCCUGUUGACGGUACCGUAAGAAUAAGGACCGGCUAACUCCGUGCCAGCAGCCGCGGUAA
rnacentral:rRNA from 1 species